ensembl:lncRNA
AAUCAACAGCAUAAAGAGGAAAACGUAUAGGUUAAUCUCACUCAUAAACAAAGAAGCAAAAUCUCCGUUAAAAUGUUAGCAGAUUAAACUGUUCUUACAGAGCAGUAGGUCCGGACCAAGAAGGGUUUGUCCAAGCCGUUCAAGGAUAGUUCAACAAAAGGAAAUCUGUUAACAUUAUUCAGCAUGUUACUAAGGUGGAAACAAACAAAAUAACCUUGUAAUCUCCUGAAUGGAUGGCUGAAAACACACUUGAGAAGCUGUAGAACUCUUCCCCAGGAGCAACUGCUGAGUGCGGACCUUGAAAAGGACUGCUAAUUUGAGGAAGUAUGAUGGAUGGAGCGUGCCCUGGGUCUGGGUCAGCACUGGAUCUCAGCCCCAGGCGCUGGGAGUCCGGGGCCUCCUGGGCCACGUCUCCAUUUUGAGCCCAGUGGACCAAUCAACCUGGACUUUCGUGGUACCCAGCACAGAAACACUGGGCUGAAAGGGACAGUCUGCUUUUUCAUAGGCAGCCAAACUGCAGUCACGAGGAGAUGGAGCUCCCACUGUGGCAGAGAGAAGGGACCUUAGAACUUUAUGACACUGGAGAGUCCCUGAGUCAACCACUUCUGAAGCUGUCUUCGCUUGGACCUCCAGUUACGUAUUUUACUUGUUUUUAAGCGGGGCUGGGUUGGGCUUUCUCUUAUGUGCACUGUGAAGCUCCUGAGUGAUACAGAAUGACAAUUAUUCUCUGUAAUUUCCUGUGCAAGACUUUUACUUCCCUUUCUGUGGAUGCCCCCUCACUUACGAUCUUAAAGUCACAAAUCUCUCAAACUAUUUCUUGCUUUGAAUGGCUGCUUUUACAUAGUGUCUUUAAGUCCCAAAUCAUGUAGUAAUAGUAGUAAUAGCUGCACUCACUAUUUGUUGGGCUCUCUCAGAAGCAUCUUAUGUGUAUAGCUUGUAAUCUCUACAAUAAUGCUCUGAGGCCAAGACUGUCAAUUUCCCAUUUUAAAGAAGACGACGACUAAGGUAGAAAGAGAUGCCUAAGGUCACACUGUUACUGACAGGCUUUGGAACCAGGUGCAGCUGGUUCAAUCCCAGGGACUGUGCACUUCACCACCCCCCUGUGUAGAUUUAAUAGGACACAACUGGGCACGGCUGCAUCAUUCUCCAGGAGACUCACAGGAAGCUGAGCAGAGGGAUGAGUUUUAUGCAACAAACAAGCAAACAAACAAACAAAUAAAAAUGAAGACAUGGAAGGCCAAGGAGAAGAAAGAACCUGAGAUAUUUCAUGGUGCAACGAAUCUGAAGGUGUGACUUUGCAUUCUUCUUUGACAAUCCUGGUGCUGCCGUCAUCGUAGAAAGAACAUGUGCUUUGCGGUAAAUUUGAAUCACAUCUCUGCCAUGUAACGGCUGUGUGAUGAUGGACUAGUCACUUAACAGCUCCGAGGCUCACUUUUCUCACCUACAAAAUGGGAAGACUAGCAAAGAUUGACGGUCUUCGAGAAGACUGACGAGGCUUUGGAGAGAAUGCACUUGGCACACAGAAAGCGCCCUGCUGCUGAUGACUGCAGGGCUUACCAGUCCGCUCUUCACUUGCUCUUUCUAGAUUUUGGGAUGUUCGACACAAACCAGAUCUUCUUUCUCUGCACACAUCAUAUACGUUUUCAUUCUACAAACUCAGUAGGGAAUAUGUGUUCCACGUAGCUCUGCUCUCUGCUAAUUUAUCAGGUGCUCUUUCUGUGUCACUCAAACCCCUUGGGUUUUCUUCUGCCAUGGACCCUGAUCCUGACUUCCAGAGGAGUCUAGUCGAGUAGAGACCUGUAUUGGACUGUCCCACGGUCAUGAUCAAGACUGAACUCAUUUCCUCCCUGGAACCUGCUCUUCCUAUUCCCAAUCUCAGUCAGAGACACCACCUUUGGCUCCGGCUCCUCAACCCUCACACUGGGGUCACCCUUAAUGCCUCAGCUCCUUAACCUCAUUAUGCAAGGUCUUUGGCAUUCACUCUCCUUUCUUAGCUCUUGUAUUUUUCCCCUUUCUCUAUUUAUAUUGUUACUUCCUAAGUCUAAUUCUUCAAGAUCUUGGCAUUUGCAUGAGGAAUUUCCUCUCUCUGAACUGCCUUUCUCUUUUUCUUUGCCCAGCCAAUCCCCUCCUGUCCCCCUGACCCCUGUUCAGUGUCCCCUCCUGGGCUCGCUGGUCACCCUGGUGCUUGGUGGCUCCCUUGUCUCUACAUCACACAUGGGUUGUGACAGUCAGUCCCCAGGAGUCAAACUGUUCAGGUCUAUAACGGCCUCUGUUCCCAGUAUACAUGCAGCAUCCACAAGGGUUCAUGGAUUGAAUCAUUGUUUAGGAAAAUAGGCCUCUGAGUAGUGCAUUUAUCUCAAACAAUAUUCAGUAAAAUAAAAAUUAGAUUCCCUAAGGUAAAGGCAAUCUCUAUGGCCUUUGACCUGUGACAUUAACAUACAUGAUAACAUUAUCUGUCGAGGCUGAAAAGGAAGCUCUGUUUUGAUGAGCUUCCAGCACCAUCAGUGAUAAAUUUGCUUGAACAGGCUGAAUAAAUGAUGUUUAUGUACCGAAGUCCAGAUCUUUCUGCUCAAGGAGAAUGCCGGGUGGCCAAAGGCCCUGUCUGGCAGGGUCGCGCACAGUGAAUGGCACAGCUGUGAUCCAGGCACCACGCUGUGGUAGAGAAGCAGGACCCUGACCAUUUAGAGCACAUGGAAUGGACUCCAGGGCCCCUUGUCAAGGCUUAUCAAGAGCAGGUUUUAACCUUUGACCUUUCCUGGGUCUCCCCCCACUGCAUACAUUCCCAGGUCAACCUUUGCUACACCCCUCAUCCCCUCUCCCAGCCACAGUCUGCUCUGGCCUCCAUGCUCCUGAGACUUCUUUCUCUCUUCUCCAGUGUGCUUUCAACAUGUAGGAUUCUUCUUGGUGGCUGAAUGGUCAAUGUAAACGGUGGUUUGGGGACAGUCAGCCCUCUGGUGACAAGCAGAGGGGCUGGGAGGAGGGGAGCAUGCACGAUUGACUCUGACCUGGGACCGACACUCCUGGGUGCCCCAAACUUGCCCUUCACCCUCUCCUCUCAUUAGCUCCCCUCAGCCACUCUCUGGGUUUUCCCCUUGGUGCCCAUGCCUCCUCCUUAGCGAUUUUAAACAGUAAGAAAGCACUGACAGGAAGAUUAUUGUAAAGAAACAGUAUAAUACAUACCCUGACUAUGGUCCCAUCGGACUACCUCAUUCCUCAAAAGAAAUAAUUUGAUCACAAUAUGAGGACAUGGUUGCCACCAAAUAAUGAUGGAGUCCCAGGGAAAUCAGUGUGGAGGUUAGUGCGUGUAUGGAGAACUCCCAGUGAUUAAAACCCAAGCAGGAAGCAAGGAGGAGAUUCGCAAAGCGUUUGCUAUAAGUAAAG